rnacentral:rRNA from 1 species
GAUGAACGCUGGCGGCGUGCCUAAUACAUGCAAGUCGAGCGAACAGACGAGGAGCUUGCUCCUCUGACGUUAGCGGCGGACGGGUGAGUAACACGUGGAUAACCUACCUAUAAGACUGGGAUAACUUCGGGAAACCGGAGCUAAUACCGGAUAAUAUAUUGAACCGCAUGGUUCAAUAGUGAAAGACGGUUUUGCUGUCACUUAUAGAUGGAUCCGCGCCGCAUUAGCUAGUUGGUAAGGUAACGGCUUACCAAGGCGACGAUGCGUAGCCGACCUGAGAGGGUGAUCGGCAACACAGGAACUGAGACACGGUCCAGACUCCGACGGGAGGCAGCAGUAGGGAAUCUUCCGCAAUGGGCGAAAGCCUGACGGAGCAACGCCGCGUGAGUGAUGAAGGUCUGCGGAUCGUAAAACUCUGUUAUUAGGGAAGAACAAAUGUGUAAGUAACUAUGCACGUCUGGACGGUACCUAAGCAGAAAGCCACGGCUAACUACGU